UAUUUGAUCUGAAAGUGAUAUAUUGUAGUUUCCACUAGUAAAACAGCUCUAGGGGGCAAUUUCUCAGUGACCUCACCAAUAAUAAUCAGACAUACUGUAUACCAUUCACGUAUAUGCACCAUGCAUGGUACCUUUUUAGUUCGCAUCUGGAAGACGGAGAAGUAAAAUAGUAGACGAUAAAUUAUCUUGCUGUAUAUAGACAUGGCGUACCCAGUGUAUGUAAAUUCAAAUAUUAAGGCUUUAGAUGUAGGAAAAUAUCUAUUUAAAACUGAUCAUGAAAGUGAUAUCGUAACUCCGAGUAAACACUGCAGUGCCGUUCUUAAAACUGUACAAAUGUAUGACUCUUAUCUUGACUCAAACGCUAGCCGCUAUAGCAUAUAACUUGACAGAAGAGCCAAUAUAAACGUACGGUAUAUAAAUCGAAUACUGAAAAAUUUGAAUAUUAUAGGAUUUAAUUAAUUAAACAGGAG